rnacentral:rRNA from 1 species
GACGAACGCUGGCGGCGUGCCUAAUACAUGCAAGUAGAACGCUGAAGGAGGAGCUUGCUUCUCUGGAUGAGUUGCGAACGGGUGAGUAACGCGUAGGUAACCUGCCUGGUAGCGGGGGAUAACUAUUGGAAACGAUAGCUAAUACCGCAUAAGAGUAGAUGUUGCAUGACAUUUGCUUAAAAGGUGCAAUUGCAUCACUACCAGAUGGACCUGCGUUGUAUUAGCUAGUUGGUGAGGUAACGGCUCACCAAGGCAACGAUACAUAGCCGACCUGAGAGGGUGAUCGGCCACAAUGGGACUGAGACACCGCCCAGAAUCCUAAGGGAGGCCGCAGUAGGGAAUCUUCGGCAAUGGACGGAAGUCUGACCGAGCAACGCCGCGUGAGUGAAGAAGGUUUUCGGAUCGUAAAGCUCUGUUGUAAGAGAAGAACGAGUGUGAGAGUGGAACGUUCACACUGUGACGGUAUCUUACCAGAAAGGGACGGCUAACUACGUG